rnacentral:rRNA from 1 species
AUUGAACGCUGGCGGAAUGCUUAACACAUGCAAGUCGAGCGAGCUGUAGCAAUACAGCUAGCGGCGGACGGGUGAGGAAUACAUAGGAAUCUGCCUCAGAGCGGGGGAUAGCCCGGGGAAACUCGGAGUAAUACCGCAUGAUGUCGCAAGACCAAAGUGGGGACCGCAAGGCCCCACACUCUGAGAUGAGCCUAUGUCUGAUUAGCUAGUUGGCGGGGUAAUGGCACACUAAGGCGACGAUCAGUAGCUGGUCUGAGAGGACGAUCAGCCACACCGGAACUGAGGCACGGUCCGGACGCCUACGGGAGGCAGCAGUGGGGAAUAUUGGACAAUGGGCGCAAGCCUGAUCCAGCAAUUCCGCGUGGGUAAAGAAGGCCUUCGGGUUGUAAAGCCCUUUAAGUUGGGACAAAAAAAUCGGCGAUAACAUCGCCGGUCUUGAUGGUACCGACAGAAUAAGCAACGGCUAACUCUGUGCCAGCCGCCGCGGUAA